UAAGACGUAGGGCGCGAGCGUUGUCCGGAUUUAUUGGGCGUAAAGAGCUCGUAGGCGGCUCGUUGCGUCGGCUGUGAAAACCCGCAGCUCAACUGUGGGCUUGCAGCCGAUACGGGCGGGCUAGGAUUCGGUAGGGGAGACUGGUAUUCCUGGUGUAGCGGUGAAAUGCGCAGAUAUCAGGAGGAACACCGGUGGCGAAGGCGGGUCUCUGGGCCGAUAUCGACGCUGAGGAGCGAAAGCGUGGGGAGCGAACAGGAUUAGAUACCCUGGUAGUCCACGC
rnacentral:rRNA from 1 species